UACAGAGGGGGCAAGCGUUAUUCGGAAUUAUUGGGCGUAAAGGGCGCGUAGGCGGCUUGGCAAGUGGAUGGUGAAAUCCCUCGGCUUAACCGAGGAACUGCCGUCCAAACUGCUUAGCUUGAGACCGGGAGAGGUGAGUGGAAUUCCCAGUGUAGCGGUGAAAUGCGUAGAUAUUGGGAGGAACACCAGUGGCGAAGGCGGCUCACUGGACCGGAACUGACGCUGAUGCGCGAAAGCGUGGGGAGCAAACGGGG
rnacentral:rRNA from 1 species